CCUACGGGAGACAGCAGUGGGGAAUAUUGCACAAUGGGGGAAACCCUGAUGCAGCGACGCCGCGUGAGUGAAGAAGUAAUUCGUUAUGUAAAGCUCUAUCAGCAGGGAAGAAAAUGACGGUACCUGAGUAAGAAGCCCCGGCUAACUACGUGCCAGCAGCCGCGGUAAUACGUAGGGGGCAAGCGUUAUCCGGAUUUACUGGGUGUAAAGGGAGCGUAGACGGCAGUGCAAGUCUGGAGUGAAAGGCGGGGGCACAACCCCCGGACUGCUCUGGAAACUGUACGGCUGGAGUGCAGGAGAGGUAAGUGGAAUUCCUAGUGUAGCGGUGAAAUGCGUAGAUAUUAGGAGGAACACCAGUGGCGAAGGCAGCUUACUAAGCCAUAACUGACACUGAAGCACGAAAGCGUGGGGAUCAACCAGGAUUAGAUACUUGUAGUC
rnacentral:rRNA from 1 species